rfam:Trichosporon asahii var. asahii CBS 8904 unplaced genomic scaffold scaffold00167, whole genome shotgun sequence.
GCCGCUGUGUCGCAAUGGCAGCGUGUUUGACUUCUAUGAGAGUUUCUCAUCACACAUCAAAAGGUUGCGGGUUCGAGUCCCGUCAGUGGCU